UCAGGUUGCAUUGGAAUAUAGAGCCAGAUUGUCAGCUGCGAUAAACUAGCAUAACUACGUUAAAGGCAAGGAAACUUCAGGUUUACACCAGCCGAGGAUCUCGCUGAUAGUUUUACCCCCUUGAUCAUGAAAAGCUGGAUGUCACAUGUCAACAACAUAGAGCAAAGGAGUGGGGAAAAGAGAGGUGUGUUUUUAAGCAGGCCAAUGGAAUGAAAUGAACUAAGAACACCAGUGAAGCCCACCUCUUCCCAAAACAGGAGCUGUGGCUGCGCAAGCUUCUUCCUACUCCUGACCUGCUCUGCCAAUGGACCUAAAAGAACUAGCGGUGAGAUGUUCAGGCUUCAUGCUGCUUCAGUCAAUUGUGAUAAGUUUUUUUUCCCUUUGUGAUAUAGAUCCCUAUCUACUAGGAACUGAACCAACGGUACCAACUUUUUCACACUGGUCACUGAACAGCCAUUGGAUGUCAAGUAGCGGGGAGGGAUAGCUCAGUGGUUUGAGCAUUGGCCUGCUAAACCCAGGGUUGUGAGUUCAAUCCUUGAGGGGGCCAUUUGGGGCAAAAAGUGGGGAUUGGUCCUGCUUUGAGCAGGGGCUUGGACUAGAUGACCUCCUGAGGUCCCUUCCAACCCUGAUAUUCUAUGAUUCUAAAUCCAUUCCCUAUAAACCUGACUUGGAUUAAUACCAGUGACUGACAGAUCAAAAGCUCCAUAGCCUGAUACCAAUCUCACAAGUGUCUUAUUUCUCUACAGUUAUCCUCUUUUUCAGUCUUUUCAGUCUGACCGUUAAUUACCUCCUGCUGCAUCGUGUGACUUUAUGUGGUUAGAAUUUCUCUCAUCUGUGAAUUUCACACCGUACAUUUAAAGGCACUGCUGGGUCUGUUGAAGGCAUGUGAGUUGAAUGCUAGAAUGUACGUUGUUUAAAGAAAAUGAGCCGUACGAUAUAUGGGCAGUAGCAUAUUGAAAAAUAUCAUAAAGCCAAGUAUCAUGGACAGGACGCUGUCCACUGUCCAUGUGCAGAGCUGGGUAGAAAACAGAUUUCCAUCCCAAGAAAAAAAUUGAGAUUUUGAAAAAAUGUUCAUCACAAAUCAGGAUGAAAAACCAAAAUUUACAUUUUUUUCAUUGAAACAAAAUUCUGAACAUUUCUGUGUUUCAGGUCUUUGGCAAAGUUUGGCUUCAAUACAUGCAAGAUAUUUUGUUUAUAUUGUGACUCUCUCUUUUUAAUUUUUUUAAGUUUUAAAUAUAAAAAUAAAAUUUCAAGAUUAAAAAGUCCUUUCAAAAUGAAAAAUCAAAACUCUCGAUUCUGAAAAUGUUGAAAUGGGACGUUUCAACAUUUUGGAAGUGUUCUUUCCCCCAAUUCUUUUUUCUAGUUUGUUCUUGUUGAAAUCAAUACAAUUUCACAAAAAGUUUUGAUUGUGUGGAAAUGACAUUUUUUGACAGAAAAUUGACAGAUUUUUUGACCACUUUUAUCCAUGUGUACAGUACUGAGGUAAAUGCCACCCAUGUGUCAUUGCGGAACACUAUCAGUUGUGUCUCUGUAUAGUACGGGUGCACUUCAUCAUCUCAAUCUUAUCUCCAUACACAGGACACUAAGGAUUUUUUGGAAGAGUUACUCUCCUAAAUGAAAUAAAACUGCUGCCCAGCGGGACUCAUCCAUCAUUUAACUAAUGAUUUUACAUCACUGGAAUGCAGAAAAGCAUCUACAAUGAAAAACAAACAAACCCUGUAAACAAUUAAUCUAUUUCACUGAAGGCCAUCAAGUUCUGCCAAAGAUUAGUUUGGACAAUCCAUAAUGCACUUCUGCAGAUAUCAAAGCUUUUUCGAUUUCCAUAGUUCAAAUUUUUAAAGUGACCUUUCUCUGAGUGGGUCCUUUUUAAUAGGAAAUGGAGUUUAUUUCUGAGUGCAGUCACAAAAGUAACUUUUUUCUGUGUUUUUGCAAAAGUGGACCCAUUUGAAGCUCUUAAUGACAUGGAAGACAUGCAAAAUGUCAAGUACUUUUUGCGCCUCUUUCAUGCCCCUCUAGUUAAAACUGUGUUGGGCGCCAACGUUGCAGGAUGCCAUUGACCCAGCAUCUGCAGAAUCCUGCAACACAUGUCCAGUGACUACAGUUAGAUGAGUCAUAUGUAGCACGGGCCAAGUUUCAUCCCAGAAGGAUAAAAACCAGCUACGGCACAGGAACAAACCCCUGAAAAUAACAGGAAUUGGUUUUGUAUUUGGGCUAUAAAAACAGGUUAGAACAGCCUGGCUAUUUGCUUCUAUUUUAAAUUUAAGUGGUAUUACUCUGUUAACCACUUUCCAUUUUUGCUUCUUUUUACCAUGACAUAAGAACACGAGAUAUUUUAGAAACCAGAACAGGGCCAUUUGCACCAGUAUGGCCUGAUGCUAAUUUCUGUCCAUUACCUGAACUGACCCUCAUUCCAGAGAUGAACUGUCUGUUUCUUAACAUAGGCCUCCCACAAAACUUCCCAUCCCCUUUAACCUAUGAUAAACCCCAUAGGGGUUGAGUGCUCUCAGAGAGGAGGAUGGAAGGACUGGAGGAAAGCUACCUUUUGCCCCUCCUCCUGCUCCACUCUGAUUGACAUUGUACAACACAAGAUCCUCCUGGUAGGGAUUGUUGGUACAAUUUUCAGUAUCUUCUGAGUCACUUAGGAGAUACUGAAGUCACGUUUUCCAAAAGCACUUAGGCAUCCAAGCGUCAUAAAAAGUCAAUAGGGCAUAGGCUUCUAAGGGUCAGAUUUUUAAACGUAUUUAGGCAACUAAAGAUGAUGUUAGGUGCCUAGUGUGAUUUUCAAAAGUGAUGAGCCUAAAUCCCAUUGAAAUAAAUGGGAGUUAGGUGCCUAGAUGCUUUUGAAAAUCUCACUAGGCGUUGAUCUGAGUCUUUAACUGCCCAAAUACCAUUAAAAAUCUGAUCCUUGGUGCCUAAAUCACUUUUGAAAAUGGGAUUCCUAAAUAGAGCUGGGAGAAAUUUUUCAGAUGAAUCUUUUUUUUCCACCGAAAAAUGCGGAUUUGUGUUGACUGAAAUAGUUCACAAAUUCAUGUCAAAUUCACCAAAUCGUUGUAGUCAGAAAAAAAAAAUUCAAAUUCAGAAGAAGUCAAAACGUUUCGUUUACAUCUGUUCAAAAUGAAACGUUCUGACUUUUCAAUUUGAAACAGUUUUUUAAAAGAUUUAGUUCAUUUUUCCCCAAACGUUAAAAAAACCACAAAACUGAAAUGAAAUGUUUUCUUUUUGGUCAAACAAAACGUUUUUGGGGUUUUUUUUACAUGAAAUUAAACUUCUUUGACUUUUGCAGCUCACUGAAAUAUUGACAAAAAUAUUUUGAAUGGUUCCCAAACUAUUUUUGUUUUCAAGCUUUGGGUCAGCCACUGAACCGAAAAAUUGGUUAUUCGCACAGCUUUCCUCGUAAGUCAUGCGUCUGUAUUUAGAUAUAAAUAUCAAUAUGUGAAGUUGCAACUCCAUGCACACCCAUGGCAGCAUUAUACACAAAAGUUCAAUAAGAAUGACAGAUGAGGACAAUGCCUUCUGAUGGUAUGUUAGUGCUGCAUUUUGUGGACAGACAGCGUCAAUAGGCUCUUGGGGACCACAUUGAUUGGAACAGCUGAGGGUCAAGAUAACAGAUAUUUAAUUUGAUGUAUUUAAAGCUCUUCAGCAGGGAGUAGGACUCCUGUUGCUGAAGAGAUAGGGUGGGGCACACAAUUAUAGCCUUUCCCUCUUGCAGACCCCUGUAGCUCGCACAAGGAUGGUACAACUUUUCAAAUAACAAAGGUAUUUCCUGAGAGAGCCCAACCACAAGGCUAUGUCUGCACUAGGGAUUUGCCCCAGUUUCAGUCAUCAGGAGUCCUGCCGCCCCAAGCGUGAAAAAAAAAAAAAAGCCGGAGUGCCACCGAAGCAAAAAAACAAACAAACAAAAAAGGCCAGAGUGCCGCUCCUUGCCACCCUAAGCACAUGCUUGGUUUGCUGGUGCCUAGAGCCGACCCUGCCACCCGCUGAUGUUAUGGCCCAAUGCAAACCCCUAGAGUAGAUGGGAUUGUUAAACUGCAAUCUGCACUGUUGCAAUUUAUCCUGGCUGGGCAUCUCUGUUUUCCUCUGUUCUCCUGUAUGUUUGGGUGUGGUUUAGUGGGUAUGGCUGGUGGCCAGAUCUAGAGAGAAUCUCAAAACACAUACAGUGACAUAGCGAGGAUUAUUUUACAGAGGGGUAAACAAAUCUCCUUUUCCCCCCCUCCCCUUAACAGUAGGUUGGUAAAGCCGGUGAAUUUUAAUAGAGCCCUAAAAAAAAAAAAAAAAGUGUCUGCUUGUUUCCUAGGUACACCACAUUACCCACAGCGAGUCUUACCGCUCCCCGAGAAAGUUUGUGCAAGUCCUAAAAUAAUUUCAUCCCACUGGCCCACAAAUAUUCCCAUUUGGUAAGCCUUAUAUAGAGUAAUUAUUGUUUAACAUGGCACCACAGCUAGGCCAGGGUUUAUUUUGGGUUCUGUGUUAUAAAAAGCCGUUUGUAAAAAAAAUUACUGUAUUUUCCUAUCUGUCAUGUUGAACAAACGGGUCUAGAAACUUGUUCGUUGACUUUGUUGUUGUUUGUUUUGCUUUAAGAGUCCGCAUUCAUCAAAGUGCUGGCAUCAGUACCAAAGCCAUCUCAUCAUCGCAGCCCGGCGUAUUUAAACGUGUCUGCACUUUAAUUAUAGAAAUGUCUCUGGCAGGUAGCCGGUUGUUGUGGGACUAUUGACCUACGUUGGUGGAAGACACAUGUUUGGAAGAGGGGGUGAAACCUUAACAACCACAAAUGUAAGAAACUGAAUAUCAUUGGCAGGUAACAGGUGUGACCUUUGAGGAGGAAGUUAAGCUAAAACUCUGACCUGCUUCCCUUUUCACUGUUUUCCAAAUGGCACUUAGCACUUCAAAUGCUCAAAGCGCAGCACGGCUGUUAAGCAACUAAUUCCCACAACUGCUUUGUAAGGUAGGUAAAUGUAUUAGUCCUGUUUUUCAAAUGGAGAAACUGAGGCAGAAAGAGGUAAGUGAAUUGCCCCAGUCUACAUGGGUGAGUUAGCUUGGAUUAGAACAAAGGAGCUUCUGGCUCCUUUCCUUAUGCUCAUUUCUCCAGACCAUGCUGCUUUGGAUAGCAAAGUUCUUUCUAAUUUUAAUAACUGGUUGUACAAACUACCAUGUAUAUGUAUAACAAUUGCUUUGCCCAUUUUUGAAAUGCAGCUACCUCGCGGGUGGGAAACAGCUGCUGUUUAAUGGUGCGUAGCAAUACUUUGCAAUAUUUUAGAACAGGAUGGGAAGAAUAUUACAUUUAGUGAUGUAAUUACUCAAGUUGGAACUUGGCCAAGACCUCAAAAUUAACACCACAUACUCUUACAAAGAUGGUCAUAGCAUCUUUAAUGAUCACAAAGGAGGCAAGUGUUAUCUAGGAGUUAGAGCAAGGAUCUCUGAGUCAAGACUCAGAUUCAGUUCUUAAUUUUCCCAGUGUCUCAUUGCAUGACUCAGAGGAAUUCCUCUCACCUUUCUGUGCCUCAGUUUUACUCGUAAAAUGGAGUUAGUAAUACUCAAUUACCUUGAAUGGGGCAGGUUAGGGGCUAAAUUAAUGUUCGUAAAGCCUUUAAUGACCUAGAGCAACACGUGUAACAGUAUUAUUACAAGUGGUGUGGAUCUUGGCUUUAUUAAUGGUAAGAAGUACUAGUGCAAAGAAGGCUGGGACCGAAUGGAGGAACCAAAUGUAGAUAGAGUUCAUUGUUAUCUGUGGGGGAAAUGAUCCAAGGCACACAUCGCAGUUGUGUCCACACACACAAAAUGACACGUUCUUUGCUCCAGAGAACGUACAGUCUGAGUUAGAUAAAUAUACAGCAGAUCGACAUGUUUGCUGGACAGGUAGAUAGUUGUAUUUUUUUUCUAAUUUCUCAGGUUUCUCAGGGAGUUUUUCUAAGUUCUCAGGUGCUGUUUUCUCUUCAGUUUGUAGGACAUUUCAUUGUGUAACUCCUCAUUAACUUUUAAGAGGAGCUACCAUUUUAAGAAGAUUUUAAAGGUUUUUACCCACACGAAUAUGCUCCAAGGAGCCUCUGAGUUUCCAGAUUAUGGAUUAAGGUGGGAGUUGGUUGUUUUGUCUCAGGAUGCGUGAAGUGGUUGGAACAAAAUAGGAACCAGACCAAACCUCCAUCUAAAAUUUAAACCAAACUUGUCUGUGAGGCUUUUGUUCUCACAACGGCGUCUGAAUUUUUUGUCAUAGACCAAGAAUACCAAAAGAAAAGCCUUUGCACAUGGUACUUCAGGCGUCACGGGAAGCAGGUUGUGUCAUGAUAUACGGAAUGAUAGAAAACAAAGACAGAUACAGAUUACCACACAGCUUGAAUUCUAAACUUUGCCUCCUUUGUUUAUCACAGACCACACCCUGCAUGAAACCCUGUACAGCCCGUAGAGACAUCUAGUGGCUGAAUAAUACCCUGCAAGUAAACAGACAGUAGAAGAAGCUGAAGUUGAAGAGAGCUGUUUCUCGUGGUGUUUCCAAGCUGAAGGGAAGAGAUGUUUUGUUUCCUUUUCUAUAUUUUCUGCCAUGUCAUGCCCCAAUCCAAGUCUCCUCUGCAUGCAUCCUGUGCCGUCUUCCCUCUGAAUCUUGAUCUGCAAAGGAGUGAGGAGAAAACAGUUUUUCAUGCUGAUCUAUUUUUGUUCAUGUAGGUCACUGCUGUUCAGACUUGGAUGUGAAGAGAGGCAGGCUCAAGACCACUCUGUCUUCCUUUGCUUGAGAAACGCAGCUACCGCACUAGCACAGGACUGGCCUGGGGAACACAGCAGAAAACAAUUUUCAGGAUCUCCCUUGGCAACUGAGUUGACUGGACUUCCACCAGCUUUUGUUUCUCUAAAGAUCCAGAAACGUUUUCCAUUUCCUGAUGGUAGACGCGUGAGUCACUGCGGCUGGAGAACGUGGAAGACAAAUCAGAGCCUCUGAAGCAAAUUUGAUGCAACUGAAAUCAGGACUGUAUUUGAAGAGAUCAAGAAAUAGAGAGCAUUUCUUUUUUCCACUCCGGUGUUUAGGGAUAUGUUUGUCGAAGAGUUGGGCCUAGCAAGAUGGGCAGCGCAUGGGCAAUAAGUAUUCACGUGAAGUACCACUGCGAAGACAUUUCCCUACACAUCUCAGAAGAACGUACUAAGUUAUGGCAAAAACAGCGAUUGAGAAAUAGCCGCCCCUCCAUCAACUCAUAAUGCCUAGUGGCACUUGUUGAGACAAGGAAAAGGAAUAACUCCAAUCUCCUACUCAGCAUCGCCUCUCUCAGGAAAACAGCCUCUAAUGCUCAAAGCUAGUUGGGUGGAGACAAGGCAGCGAUGAAGCUGGUGGGCCGAGGAAGCAACGGGCAUUACUGAAAUGAUCUCUCCUCCACCACUGAAGGGACUCUAUUAGCUCCCAGAAAGAAGAUGCCUGAUCAGAAGAGGCAGCUGGUUAGACCCACUAGUAACUGCUGGAUUACCACACGCUAUACACUUACUUUAAAAAGAUCCUACUGAAAAAGCAACACAAGAGACAGAACUUGGAGGCUUCAAAAGUGAACAACGGAGAGAAUGAAAAGCCCUUCACUGUCUUCUAUACUCUUUUUGUUUGUUUCAACCUGACUACAUUAAGCACCUCUGCAUUAUAUUAACAUGUUCUUGACUAGGAGUGGGAUUUUUCAGAAUAGCCUCCGGGAGUUACGUGCCACUGGGAACUGAGUGUCUAACUCCUUUAGGGUUAUUUUAAAACUCCAGACUUCAACUGCUGUAUUAAUUUUCUGACUUUUGAUUUUUGUUGCAAUUUGGGAGUUAAAUGAAAAAACCUGGAAAAAAGUCAACUGAAGUUUGGUAUGGUUUUUGACCAGUUCUGUUAUUGAUAAAUGUUUCUGUAUGCAACCCAAAGAAAGAGUAGCCAUAACUGCUGUUGUAAAUGCCCUUGUUUCGUCCUGUCUGCAGUUUUAAUUUUCAGGACAUAGUGGGCUGCUGAUCUUGCUCCUGUAGUUUUGCCCUCACAGAUACCUGCAGAUGCACUUUGUACUACUUAGAUGUCUAUGCAUUAUUGCCAACCUCCGGCCUUCCAAAACUGUGAGAUUAUCUUAAAACUCAUGAGAUUUUUUUUUAAAUAUACAUUUUGGAUUUGCUUUAUUUGCCUUAUAGUUUUAGAAUAUUUAGGUUACACUUGGGUCACAUUUUCAACCUUUACUCUGCAACCAUAAGGGCUAGAAAUUUUUUUUU